UGGUACGGGUGGUGAAUGGUUGUGGGUCGGCUCGUGUCGUGGGGUGUUGGGUUGGUCGGCGCCGAGGGCGCCCCUGUUGUUGGUUGCCCUCCUUUGGUUGGGCSCUCUGGCGAGACUGCCGGUGGCCGUCGGAGGCAGGUGGGGCGACGUCCCGCUGUCCUGCACCUUGUGUCCUGGGCUCCCCCCGUCCUNCACUGGCUUUUGCGGCGGGGUGCGAGACCGUGGGGUGGRGCCCCUCCCUAAAGYUGGCCCCGGUUCGGGUUGUGGGCUGGGCCUCGCCCACAUGAAGUCGGAAUUGCUGGUGAUUGCGGGUCGGCAUACUGCGGUGAAUACGUUCCACGGGCCUUGUACACGCCGCCCGUCCACCAUGGGAGUCUGCGACGCCGGAAGUCAGUGGUUUGACCAGUAAUGGAGAGCGCUGCCGAAGGUGGGGCCGAUGAUUGGGGUGAAGUCGUAACGAGGUUGCCGU
rnacentral:rRNA from 1 species